GGACUACUCGGGUAUCUAAUCCUGUUUGCUCCCCACGCUUUCGCGCCUCAGCGUCAGUGUCUGUCCAGAUAGCCGCCUUCGCCACUGGUGUUCCUUCCGAUAUCUACGCAUUUCACCGCUACACCGGAAAUUCCACUAUCCUCUACAGCACUCUAGUCAUUCAGUCUUGAAUGCAGUUCCUAGGUUAAGCCCAGGGAUUUCACAUCCAACUUAAGUAACCGCCUACGCGCCCUUUACGCCCAGUAAUUCCGAUUAACGCUUGCACCCUCUGUAUUACCGCGGCUGCUGGCAC
rnacentral:rRNA from 1 species